rnacentral:rRNA from 1 species
GGAGCUUGCUCCCGGAUGUUAGCGGCGGACGGGUGAGUAACACGUGGGUAACCUGCCUGUAAGACUGGGAUAACUCCGGGAAACCGGAGCUAAUACCGGAUAGUUCCUUGAACCGCAUGGUUCAAGGAUGAAAGACGGUUUCGGCUGUCACUUACAGAUGGACCCGCGGCGCAUUAGCUAGUUGGUGGGGUAAUGGCUCACCAAGGCGACGAUGCGUAGCCGACCUGAGAGGGUGAUCGGCCACACUGGGACUGAGACACGGCCCAGACUCCUACGGGAGGCAGCAGUAGGGAAUCUUCCGCAAUGGACGAAAGUCUGACGGAGCAACGCCGCGUGAGUGAUGAAGGUUUUCGGAUCGUAAAGCUCUGUUGUUAGGGAAGAACAAGUGCGAGAGUAACUGCUCGCACCUUGACGGUACCUAACCAGAAAGCCACGGCUAACUACGUGCCAGCAGCCGCGGUAAUACGUAGGUGGCAAGCGUUGUCCGGAAUUAUUGGGCGUAAAGGGCUCGCAGGCGGUUUCUUAAGUCUGAUGUGAAAGCCCCCGGCUCAACCGGGGAGGGUCAUUGGAAACUGGGAAACUUGAGUGCAGAAGAGGAGAGUGGAAUUCCACGUGUAGCGGUGAAAUGCGUAGAGAUGUGGAGGAACACCAGUGGCGAAGGCGACUCUCUGGUCUGUAACUGACGCUGAGGAGCGAAAGCGUGGGGAGCGAACAGGAUUAGAUACCCUGGUAGUCCACGCCGUAAACGAUGAGUGCUAAGUGUUAGGGGGUUUCCGCCCCUUAGUGCUGCAGCUAACGCAUUAAGCACUCCGCCUGGGGAGUACGGUCGCAAGACUGAAACUCAAAGGAAUUGACGGGGGCCCGCACAAGCGGUGGAGCAUGUGGUUUAAUUCGAAGCAACGCGAAGAACCUUACCAGGUCUUGACAUCCUCUGACAACCCUAGAGAUAGGGCUUUCCCUUCGGGGACAGAGUGACAGGUGGUGCAUGGUUGUCGUCAGCUCGUGUCGUGAGAUGUUGGGUUAAGUCCCGCAACGAGCGCAACCCUUGAUCUUAGUUGCCAGCAUUUAGUUGGGCACUCUAAGGUGACUGCCGGUGACAAACCGGAGGAAGGUGGGGAUGACGUCAAAUCAUCAUGCCCCUUAUGACCUGGGCUACACACGUGCUACAAUGGACAGAACAAAGGGCUGCGAGACCGCAAGGUUUAGCCAAUCCCACAAAUCUGUUCUCAGUUCGGAUCGCAGUCUGCAACUCGACUGCGUGAAGCUGGAAUCGCUAGUAUCGCGAUGAAUACGUUCCCGGGCCUUGUACACACCGCCCGUCACACCACGAGAGUUUGCAACACCCGAAGUCGGUGAGGUAACCUUUAUGGAGCCAGCCGC